rnacentral:lncRNA from 1 species
AGGCGCUGAGAUGAGAUGAGCUCUCUCCCUUAUGUGGAGAAGUCCUUUUAGGAAUCUGCCGUGUUUAAAUGUGUGGCAUGGGGGAAAGGGAAUAUGGCUAAUAAUCACUAUGCAAAAUAAGAAAUGCAUUUAAAAGUUGAUACAGUAUGGAGGAAAGAUGUGACCCUUUCUGCAGACGUGAGGUUGUGAGGGAGUCAGACAAGAACAUCAAUGGGUUUGAGGUGUUAAAUUCUUCAAGCUCUCCCAUUGCCUGAGUAUCAUAGUCACAUUUGUACCUUGGAAGUCUCCCUUUGGGAUCAGCAUGUAGGAUGGAUUUAAGCGAAUUGGACUGGAGGGCCUGCAGCCAUUGUAGAAGUACAGCUGGGACAUUGCUCUUCUC